rnacentral:rRNA from 1 species
UACGUAGGCAGCAAGCGUUGUUCGGAGUUACUGGGCGUAAAGGGUGCGUAGGCGGCUUUUUAAGUUUGGUGUGAAAUCUCCCGGCUCAACUGGGAGGGUGCGCCGAAUACUGAGAGGCUAGAGUGUGGGAGAGGAAAGUGGAAUUCCUGGUGUAGCGGUGAAAUGCGUAGAUAUCAGGAGGAACACCGGUGGUGUAAGCGGCUUUCUGGACCAUAACUGACGCUGAGGCACGAAAGCGUGGGUAGCAAACAGG